GGAUGUGAGGGCCAUCUGGCUGCAACAUCUGUCACACCAUUGAUCACACCAUUGAUUUGGCUGAUCUGGCUGGGUAGGCAGGUGUCCUCUUCCUCCCUCACUGCUCCAUGUGCAUCCUUCCAGAAGCUGCAAGCUUGGUUGAAGAGAACAUUCCCAGAUAGAGUAGAGGACUGUAUUCCGGUCAAGGUUACAUGAGUAGCUGCACCCCCCUGCUAAAGCCUCCAUCAAGAUCUCAAAAUGAACAACAGUAAUGGGAAUAAAACAAAAUCAUGUGUUGACUGGCAGGAUUCAAAGAGGACCU
ensembl:misc_RNA 7SK 7SK RNA